rnacentral:rRNA from 1 species
AUUCCAGCUCCAAUAGCGUAUAUUAAAGUUGUUGCGGUUAAAAAGCUCGUAGUUGGAGUUCUGCCAGGUGCCACCUGUCCGCCCCAGUGGUGAGUACGUGGUGCGCAUUUGGCCCUUUCAAGGGGAGCGUAUUUGCACUUAAUUGUGUGGUGCGGGAUCCUUGACUUUUACUUUGAGGAAAUAAGAGUGUUCCAAGCAGGCUCUCGUCGUGCAUAGCUCAGCAUGGAAUAAUAGCAUUGGACCUCGAUUCUAAGCUGUUGGUUGCCAGAAGCGAGGUAAUGAUGAAGAGGGAUAGUUGGGGGCAUUCGUAUUUAACUGUCAGAGGUGAAAUUCUUGGAUUUAUGGAAGACGAACUGCUGCGAAAGCGUCGAACAAGGACGUUCUCAUUG